ensembl:lncRNA
AUACAACGAACGGUAUUUCAUCUCUAUCUUGUGUUGUGUUUCAAAAUGGUGUUCUUUCUUAAUCUGUGGAUUUAGGUCACGUAAAUCAUCAACAUAUGUGUUAUAACGGUCCGACCAUCACCACAGCCAACCCUAUGAAACCAUCACACUUCCUACUUCAGGUUCACAGGAACACAGAGCUGGCCAGUGACGUAGGCCUGCUUCAUUAACCACAACCAUUGCAGCAUGUCUGCAAACUAGUUUGGGUGGGAUGCAGCCUGGGAACAAUACGGAUCUGAGCUCAUGUUUUAUUUGCUAUUGACAAUGGCACAAUUUUCAUUUGCGAAAAACACAAGCACAUCCCCACCAACCUCAACCACAGUGAAAGGUGUUUCAUCUCUAUCUUGAGGAGCCAUGUUUCAAAAUGGUGUCUUUAUCCAUCAUGUAACUCUGAGGACUUGGUAGUGGAGGUCAGUCAAUUGGGUCACUUCCAGUUAGUGCUGCUAUUUGUCUUGUGGUAGGCUGUUAUUUUGCUAUUAAAAAUAAGUGAGGCAGAAUCUGCAUUAAAAUACAUUUUUA